rnacentral:misc_RNA from 1 species
GAUGAAGAACGUAGCAAAAUGCGAUACUUGGUGUGAAUUGCAGAAUCCCGUGAACCAUCGAGUCUUUGAACGCAAGUUGCGCCCGAAGCCAUUAGGCCGAGGGCACGCCUGCCUGGGCGUCACACGUCGUUGCCCCCCCAUCAACUCCUUCGGGAUUGCGGGGGGCGGAUGAUGGCCUCUCGUGCGCCUCGUCGCGCGGUUGGCCUAAAUGCCAAGUCCUCGGCGACGCACGCCACGACAAUCGGUGGUUGCGAAACCUCGGUUGCCUGUCGUGUGCGGUCGUCGCGCAUCGAGGGCUCGAAAAAAUUGCCGGGCUUCGGCUCGACUUUCAACGCGACCCCAGGUCAGGCGGGGUUACCCGCUGAAUUUAAGCAUAUCAAUAAGCGGAGGA